AAAAUGGCAAUGUGUUGGAGCUAUUGACAAUUUGACAUCACUCAAUAUCUGUUCAGAUAUAUAUUUGCCUAGCCCAGGGAUAUUGAAUGCAACAUUUGGUUGAAGCUUUUGAAAGAAUGGGCAUACCAGUGAUCCUUUUCUUGAUUCUCUAAAGCAUAUUGUUUGAUUGAGCUAAACUUGGAACGUGUCACCAAACUUGAGAUCUAGAACAUGUUGCUCCUAGCAGGGCCCAAAUAUAAUCAAAAUAAACAUGUAGGUUUUUAGUGUUGCUGCUGUAUUGUUCUGCUAGAUGUUUGAUGUGUGUUGCUGCGAGUUUGUGGAUUGCGGGCUUCUUGGUGAUGUGUGCCUGCUCGAGUGCAUUGGUGGUCUGUGUGGUGGAUGCAGCCAUUGCUGCAUGUUUUUUUUGUAUCAUGAUGUUCUCUUUUUGGGUAUGGAAGGCUUAGGUGUUUUUUAGGCUGUUGUUUCUUUGUUGGGGUAGAUUUUUCAGAAAUUGUUUGGUGGUGGUGGCCCCGUUGUAUGUAGACCGACUAUCGUGGCUUACUGGCUUGCGUUCCAGUUGCCACCGCUCAACAAGGAGAAGAAGGGUAGUCCACCACGUACACGUAAAUGCCUCAUGCGUAGCUCUUUCAAUGCAUUGAUGCUCUCAUCGCAUUUUAUAUCAUUCUCUGUGCUCACAGUAUGCAGGAGAUUCUUCCUGUCAUCACGGGGCUUGAGAGAGAGGAAGGGAUACAUGUCGGCCUCUAUGCGCAUUGCGCACAAGGGUUGCUGGUCAGAAUUAGUGUUUAUGGGAGUCCAUUCAUCUGAUUUUCAACAAAAAUAAUUAUGAGAUACUCUGAGUAAUGAGGCUUAAAUUCAAUCUUUGAUUUCCCUAUUUCAACUGUAAAAUGUUUAUAUUAGCUAUUAGAAGUGGGUCCUGUUUAUUUCAUGCCUUAUUUACCGUGUUCUGUCCAGCUCUUUUUUUGAGUUGGAGAAGUGAAAGGAACUAAAGAAGAAAAUGGUAAUUCUUGGGUCGAUCUGCUAUGCUUUUGUAUUUGAGAGCGGCUGAUAGAAUCUUAGGUAGGAUAUAGCUAAUGAUUGGAUGCAUAAGAGAACUGUCAUACUCGGUACUACAUACUUUCUCCAGUUUGAACAAGUUAUCUGAACAAUACAAUAGCUGAAUGAUUUGCUUGUAUGUUUCUCUUCAAGUUAGAGAGGAAGAUUUUGAUGUGAAUUUCUGGAUAAAAUCCCUGAUUUCUCUUACUUGGAUUCAGAUCACCAUAUGCUGAAUCGGAUUUCUUUAACAAGGUUUGAAAAAAGGCAAGUGGAAAAUUGUCACCACUUCAGCAACUGCAGCGUAUGUUUUCUCAGAAAGAAACUUUAAGGAGGAGGAUGUAGGAACUAUUUGAACCUGCUUGUACGAUAAUGGAUUUUCUUGCCAUUUUGAUCCUGCUACCUGAACUGUAUGUCACUGCUUGCCAGAUUGAUCAUUGCGGAUGAGAUGGACUACUUAAUAACACGAGACCUGGCUGUGCUACAUGACGUUUUCAUGCUUACCAACCACCAGUUCUCAAGAUGCAUACUAAUAGGUUCGUUUUCUGCGAUACUCACACCUACAAUGUA